GUAUGGCAGUACUGUAUUGGCUAGUGCUUUCUCCAAUAUGUUCUUCUAUUUUACUUUCAAUUGUAUGUCGAUGCCAUUUAUCUUUCAAUAUAUAUAUAUUUUAAUGCUUGUAAGACUAUUCUUUGACACAUUUUCUCUUCCUUUGAAAUUCUUAUAGGACAGAACAUGGACACAAUGCAAUUGGGAUCAAGAAGAAGGACUGGAGACCACAGCAGCGAUUCUGCUCUUGCCCUACCUCUUCAAUGAGGACCCGAGUGGCCUUUAUGUCCGUGACAAGAUUUCACCGCUCUUCACUCCUUUACUGCACAUUGGUGGAAAUCCAUUUCACCAUGAGAGUGAAAUCCCGCUGGCCUUUGAUGGGGAGAACAUCCACGCCCUCGAGGACGUCCCCAUGGGACUUGGGGCUCUGCUAGGGCUGUAUUUUUAUUUUCCCUUAAAUUUCCCAAAAAUGUCAGAAAAACACUUAUGUUGUUAAGUUACUGUGUUCUGGGGAUAAGAGAAGUUGGGGUGAAGUUACCAGGGCCGGUCAUAAAGAUGGCAAACUUCCUAACAUAACUAAGUGGAUAUGAUAUACACACUAAACCUGAAAAAU